rnacentral:rRNA from 1 species
UACGUAGGGUGCAAGCGUUGUCCGGAAUUAUUGGGCGUAAAGAGCUCGUAGGCGGUUUGUCGCGUCUGCUGUGAAAACCCGAGGCUCAACCUCGGGCCUGCAGUGGGUACGGGCAGACUAGAGUGCGGUAGGGGGAGAUUGGAAUUCCUGGUGUAGCGGUGAAAUGCGCAGAUAUCAGGAGGAACACCGGUGGCGAAGGCGGGUCUCUGGGCCGUAACUGACGCUGAGGAGCGAAAGCGUGGGGAGCGAACAGG